AUUGAACGCUGGCGGCAGGCCUAACACAUGCAAGUCGAGCGGAUGAAGGGAGCUUGCUCCUGGAUUCAGCGGCGGACGGGUGAGUAAUGCCUAGGAAUCUGCCUGGUAGUGGGGGCUAACGUCCGGAAACGGGCGCUAAUACCGCAUACGUCCUGAGGGAGAAAGUGGGGGAUCUUCGGACCUCACGCUAUCAGAUGAGCCUAGGUCGGAUUAGCUAGUUGGUGGGGUAAAGGCCUACCAAGGCGACGAUCCGUAACUGGUCUGAGAGGAUGAUCAGUCACACUGGAACUGAGACACGGUCCAGACUCCUACGGGAGGCAGCAGUGGGGAAUAUUGGACAAUGGGCGAAAGCCUGAUCCAGCCAUGCCGCGUGUGUGAAGAAGGUCUUCGGAUUGUAAAGCACUUUAAGUUGGGAGGAAGGGCAGUAAGUUAAUACCGUGCUGUUUUGACGUUACCAACAGAAUAAGCACCGGCUAACUUCGUG
rnacentral:rRNA from 1 species